CACGUAGGGUGCGAGCGUUGUCCGGAAUUAUUGGGCGUAAAGGGCUCGUAGGCGGUCCAUCGCGUCGGGAGUGAAAAGCUGGGGCUUAACCCCAGUCCUGCUUUCGAUACGGGUGGACUAGAGGUAGGCAGGGGAGAAUGGAAUUCCUGGUGUAGCGGUGAAAUGCGCAGAUAUCAGGAGGAACACCGGUGGCGAAGGCGGCAUCCUGGACCGGUAUUGACGCUGAGGAGCGAAAGCCAGGGGAGCAAACGGG
rnacentral:rRNA from 1 species